rnacentral:rRNA from 1 species
AGUGAACGCUGGCGGUAGGCCUAACACAUGCAAGUCGAACGGCAGCACAGUAAGAGCUUGCUCUUACGGGUGGCGAGUGGCGGACGGGUGAGGAAUACAUCGGAAUCUACUUUUUCGUGGGGGAUAACGUAGGGAAACUUACGCUAAUACCGCAUACUCCCUACGGGUGAAAGCAGGGGAUCUUCGGACCUUGCGCGAUUGAAUGAGCCGAUGUCGGAUUAGCUAGUUGGCGGGGUAAAGGCCCACCAAGGCGACGAUCCGUAGCUGGUCUGAGAGGAUGAUCAGCCACAAUGGAACUGAGGCACGGUCCAGAAUCCUACGGGAGGCAGCAGUGGGGAAUAUUAGACAAUGGGCGCAAGCCUGAUCCAGCCAUACCGCGUGGGUGAAGAAGGCCUUCGGGUUGUAAAGCCCUUUUGUUGGGAAAGAAAAGCAGCAGGUUAAUACCCCGCUGUUCUGACGGUACCCAAAGAAUAAGCACCGGCUAACUUCGUG